rnacentral:rRNA from 1 species
CUACGGGUCGCAGCAGUGGGGAAUAUUGCACAAUGGGCGCAAGCCUGAUGCAGCCAUGCCGCGUGUAUGAAGAAGGCCUUCGGGUUGUAAAGUACUUUCAGCGGGGAGGAAGGGAGUAAAGUUAAUACCUUUGCUCAUUGACGUUACCCGCAGAAGAAGCACCGGCUAACUCCGUGCCAGCGAGCCGCGGUAAUACGGAGGGUGCAAGCGUUAAUCGGAAUUACUGGGCGUAAAGCGCACGCAGGAGGUUUGUUAAGUCAGAUGUGAAAUCCCCGGGCUCAACCUGGGAACUGCAUCUGAUACUGGCAAGCUCGAGUCUCGUAGAGGGGGGUAGAAUUCCAGGUGUAGCGGCGAAAUGCGCAGAGAUCUGGAGGAAUACCGGUGGCGAAGGCGGCCCCCUGGACGAAGACUGACGCUCAGGUGCGAAAGCGUGGGGAGCAAACAGGAUUAGAUACCCGCGUAGUC